CGAUGUGAGGGUGACCUGGCUGUGACAUCUCUCACCCCAUUGAUCACCAGGGUUGAUUCAGAUGAUCUGGCUGGCUAGGCGGGUGUCCCCUUCCUCCCUAACCGCUCCAUGUGCAUCCCUAUGAAAGCUGUGUUGAAGAAGACAACCUUCUCCAAUAGAAGGGGGACCGUCCUUUGGUCAAGGGUAUAUGAGUAGUGGUGCUCCCCUGCUCCCUCCAAACAAGCCACCUAACUGAUAUCCCCUCUUUUCAUCAAGGCCCUUCCAAUCUUGCUUCUACACUGCGUUUAGAAGGUCUUGCGUG
rnacentral:sRNA from 1 species